rnacentral:tRNA from 1 species
GGGAGUUUGGUCUAGUGGUAUGAUUCUCGCUUCUGGGUGCGAGAGUGAGAGGCCGCGAGUUCGAUUGUCGCAACUCCCC